rnacentral:rRNA from 1 species
UACGUAGGACCCGAGCGUUGUCCGGAUUUACUGGGUGUAAAGGGAGCGCAGGCGGAUUUUCAAGUCGAUGGUGAAAUCUUGCGGCUCAACCGCAAAACAGCCGUCGAUACUGUUAAUCUUGAGUGUGGAAGAGAGUGGCGGAAUUCAUGGUGUAGCAGUGAAAUGCGUAGAUAUCAUGAAGAACACCGGUUGCGAAGGCGGCCACUUGGUCCAUUACUGACGCUCAUGCUCGAAAGCGUGGGGAUCAAACAGG